rnacentral:rRNA from 1 species
GUUGCGGUUAAAAAGCUCGUAGUUGGAUUUCUGUUGAGGAUGACAGGUCCGCUCUUUGAGCGCGUAUCUGGUUCAGCCUUGGCAUCCUCUUGGGGAACGCUACUGUGCUUGAUUGCAUGGGGCGGUAUUCAAGACUUUUACUUUGAGGAAAUUAGAGUGUUCACUGCAAGCGUUAGCAAUUGAAUACAUUAGCAUGGAAUAAUAAUAUAGGACCUUGGUACUAUCUUGUUGGUUUCUAGAACUAAGGUAAUGAUUAAUAGGGACAAUUGGGGGCAUUCGUAUUAACGCGUCAGAGGUGGAAUUCUUAGAUUGCGUUACGACGAACUACUGCGAAAGCAUUUGCCAAGGAUGUUUUCAUUGAUCAAGAACGAAAGUAUGGGGAUCGAAGACGCUUAGAUACCGUCGUAGUCUAUACCAUAAACUAUGCCAACUAGAGAUUGGAGGUCGUUCUCUUUAUGACUCCUU